CACGAUUGACCUCGGAUCAGKAGGGAUACCCGCUGAACUUAACAUAUCAUCGAA
rnacentral:rRNA from 1 species